AGUGAACGCUGGCGGUAGGCCUAACACAUGCAAGUCGAACGGCAGCACAGUAAGAGCUUGCUCUUACGGGUGGCGAGUGGCGGACGGGUGAGGAAUACAUCGGAAUCUACUUUUUCGUGGGGGAUAACGUAGGGAAACUUACGCUAAUACCGCAUACGACCUACGGGUGAAAGCAGGGGAUCUUCGGACCUUGCGCGAUUGAAUGAGCCGAUGUCGGAUUAGUUAGUUGACGGGGUAAAGGCCCACCAAGGCGACGAUCCGUAGCUGGUCUGAGAGGAUGAUCAGCCACACUGGAACUGAGACACGGUCCAGACUCCUACGGGAGGCAGCAGUGGGGAAUAUUGGACAAUGGGCGCAAGCCUGAUCCAGCCAUACCGCGUGGGUGAAGAAGGCCUUCGGGUUGUAAAGCCCUUUUGUUGGGAAAGAAAAGCAGCAGGUUAAUACCCCGCUGUUCUGACGGUACCCAAAGAAUAAGCACCGGCUAACUUCGUG
rnacentral:rRNA from 1 species